CUUGUAGGCGGUUUGUCGCGUCUGCCGUGAAAUUCCUCAGCUUAACUGGGGGCGUGCGGUGGGUACGGGCAGGCUUGAGUGCGGUAGGGGAGACUGGAAUUCCUGGUGUAGCGGUGGAAUGCGCAGAUAUCAGGAGGAACACCGGUGGCGAAGGCGGGUCUCUGGGCCGUUACUGACGCUGAGGAGCGAAAGCAGUGGGGAGCGAACA
rnacentral:rRNA from 1 species